GGAGCAGGUCAGGGCUUCCCCAAGGGACCAGUCCUGGCCCUGGCCCUGUGCUGGCCACAGAGAAGGAGCCGCUGGGUUCUGGCAGAGGAGACCCUGGCUGGAGGGACCCUCCCACCCUGCUGCUCUCCCUUGGGGUGAGGGCUCCUGGGGGCGCAGGCCACGUCCCCUCUCUGGGCCCUGUGCUGGUGGGGGCUCCGUCAGAGGACAGCUGGAAGCCCUCCCUGGGGGUGGAGAAGCCUGGUUCAGGCCGGGCGGUGGGCAGAGGGCCUGGCCUGGCUCUGGCCUCAGGCCCACACUGGCUCAGCCAGCGGUGCCCUGUCUGCUGGGCGCCGGGGCCCGCUCUGCCCUCACUGGGGACACAGCAGAUCCACAGCCACAGGCCUGCUGGAACCCAGAUCCCAGUGCUUCCGCCCGGCAGGACCCCGGCCCACCACGCCCAGCAGUGACCCUCCCGAGCCAGGCUGGCCAGGGCCUCCCCACGAGGUUUGCCCCAAUUCUCUAGCCACUGUUGAGGGGCUGCCCUGUGGCCACCGUCCCCCUGAGGCUCUGCAGCACCUGUUGAGUGAGCGAGUAAAUGGACGGGCAGAGCCACGAAUGGGGACCCGCUGCUGUUCCCAGAGCCAGGCUGUGGGGGCCAGAGGGGCCCACAGGGUGCUCUGGGGCUGCUCCCUGGGCCACUUCUUGGUCCAGCCACCUGCUUCUCUACUAUGGGCAGCGGGGUCCCUUGGAAGCAGAGGACCUACCUGUCUGAACGUCCGAGGCCGCUAGACAGCCCAGUGCCAGUUGUCCCCACUGUGGCCUUGGGAUGCUGGGAGGGAACAGACGGGAGGAGGCAGGUGGGGCCGGAGGCUGGGGGGUGAGAGGCCGGCAGAGGCUGCUUGUCCAGGGCUGUGCCACCUGGCAGGGUCAUGACCUUGGGGCCGUGGUGCUUGGGGAGGCCGGCUUGGUGGACAUCUGUCUGCUGUCUCCCCCAUUUUCAUGUGAAAGGCGGGGACGUGCCUUGGGCUGGGGCCACCAUCUGCCCUGGGAGCCCCAUUGUGCAGGGGCAGAGGGGCCAGCUGUGGGCAGAGGUCGUGAGGAAGGACACGGCCAACAGAAGGAAGCUUUCAGGGCUGGUGGCGCAGAGGGUGGGCUUCGCGGGCGGGGCUGGGGGGGCACCAGCUCAGCUCAGGGCCCCUCCUCUCCCGGCCCCCUGUGGAACACCAGGACAGGAGCUUUUCCCUGUUGGUCACGUCUGCUCCUCGACGUUUCGGAAGAUGGCUGGCCACGUUCCUGUCAAGCUGGCUGAGACUCUGUCCCUUCUGGGGCCUGUGUAAGUCACAGAAACCUUAGGGACACUGAGUUAAGUCUCAGGGAGUGGCCGGCGUCCCCAGUGGGUGUGGCUUUGAGCACAGCACAGGCCGGUGGAAGCAGAGAGGGCGGCAAGGCCAGCGCUGGCCUCGGGCCUUUCUGUCUGGCUCCCAUGGGGCCUUUUAAGUGGGUUUUGCCAGUUUUAAAAACCAGGAGAUUCAUAUAAAAAUGCUGCCCUCUUCCAAAAGCCAAGGCUCCGGGCCCCUUUGCCUCACAGUUGGCCAAGCUGAGCCGCGGGACGUGCCCUCCAGGGUGCCACAGCCCCCCCAUCCCGUGCACCCCGGGGGCUGGCCUGGCCCUGCCCACACUCUCACACAACCCAGCCAGGGCUGCUGGGAUGGCAGGGAGCAGCUGUCCAGUGCAGACAGGAGCUGUGGGGUGACCCCGUGUCCCCAAGUGCACAGAGGGAGCAGAGGACAGCUGGCCCAGGACCAAGGAGCGUCUCCAUGACGACCACAUGACUGAUCAGCCAGUCCAGGCUGAAGGACAGAUGCCGACCAACUGCUAGCUUGGAGGGAGGGGCCCCGAGGACCCUGGUGGUCCCUGCUGUCACCUGGUGCCUGGUAAGCUUCAGAAGAGGGGAGGGGUCAGCCCCAAAGUGUCUGAGGUCAAAUUUCCAGCGUCCCUGCCGAACAGGACAGAAUAGGGACAAGAGGAGCUGACGAGGGGACGUCUAGGGCUCCUCACCUUGAGCCACACUCGGGUCUGCUACUUUCCGCUUUGGGGACAAUCACAGGGGUACAGCAGGCUCAGGACAGCCCCCAAGGCCACUGCUGGGGGCAAUACAAACCCGGCUUCUGGACCUGACCCAGGCCUGGCCAUCUGGCUCUGAUGCCAAGAUGGGGUUGGGCUGGAGACAGCUCAGGUGGCCUUCUCCCACACUGCUGUGGAGGACUGAGGAGGGGCCCGGGUCCUCUCUAAAUAGGACCUGUCCCCACGGCUGCUGUCCCCACCUCCCCACGAAAUCCCUAUGGGGAGAGGAGGGGACGCUCCAGGCUCUGCCCCCUCAGGGACGUGGAUAACUGGGGCAUAGCUGGGUGGCACCAGGAGUCCCUGGACACAGGAACAUCGCUGUCCACUGAGGAGGGCUCAGCUGCCGGGAUGGACACUAGCUGCAGCUGCUCAGGGUCGCUGCCACUGUCACAGGGGCUGGAGGAGGAGGCGUUCAAGGCUUUGCCAACAGCCCAGGGUCUGAAUCCCGCCUCGGCAGGCCCUCAGUGAGGUCACCAUGAUGUCAACCUCCCCUGCGCUGCUGGGAAAUGACACUGACGAGAUGAUGUGGCCUGGCCACACACAGCACUUUGUGAAGGUCAGCGACGCCCUACCCUCAAAGAAAUCGGGAACAGAGGCUCUAGUAAGAAGAUGCUACUAUCCGGUCAAGAGUGUCCGCAUCAGACUUCUGAGCUGACCACAGCAGGUCAGGCCUCGGGUCCUCACAUGUGAGUGCAGGACAGGGGACAGGAUAGUGACCAGUACAGUCUGGCAGGGGGCCGAGCCCAGGCAGCUCCGGCCCCGCCACACCUUGUCAGAGGUGCCCAACUGUUAUAAUGACCAGAACUGUCUCCACAAUUCCCAGGACACCCCGGGUCAGGACACCGCAUGAGAAUUCCCACACCGACCCCUCUACGAUCUCCCUGUCCCCUCCUGCAUUUCCAUCUGCUCCCGCUGUCCCCUUCCCAUUGUAGGCAGGAGGGGAGGCUCACUCAAAUGUCCUGGGCCCUUGCCAGUUGCUGGCCCAGCUGCCCUCCUCAGAGGCAUGAGCCCUGGUCCAUGGACCCACCUCCCCCAGGACUGUUUUCUAUGGUCAGUCCAUAACCAUGAAGUUCAUACCUUAAAACAUCACACUUGCAGGCUUCUCCUGAACAGGAAGACCUGGGACGUGGAGGUCGUGUUUGGGCGUGGCCAAGAUCCCUGGAGCCAAGUCCUGCUGCCCCUCCAAACAGGGCCCACGACACCCACUUUGCCACAGUCCCCACUCCUCUCUAUUGUCCCACACCUGAGAGGAGACAAGAGGGCGAGUGUGCACACAGAGGUGCGCCAGUGUGGACAGGUGGGUGUGGCAUGAGUGUGUGCGUGUGUCCCCCCCCCCCUUAUUCACUGAUUCUUCUGGUCAGUGGGUGCUCACUACGUCCCUGGGUUAGACCCCAGCUCCAGCAGGUACAAUGGCAGACGAGACAGGGCCAGCCUCUCUACACCACCAGCCAAGGAGGACACCCGCAUGGUGACGUCGGCAUGAGAAGAAAAUAACAAUGCGAUGUCCAAGAGGUCAGUGGUCAGGUGAUCUGGAGGACAUACCUUGCCCAGACACCUACAAUAGCUCAGUCCCCUUCUUGGGGCUCUGAGUGACAACCACCAGCCUGGCCUCUCCCCCAGGCCUGCCCUCUCCCCUUCAGCUCGGGGGCUCCUCGCUACACCACGGGGAAGGUGGGAGCAGCUGGGGAGGCCAGGCAGAGGCCAGGCAGAGGCAGGC
rnacentral:lncRNA from 1 species